CCCCCUACUCCAUUCUCAUAGGGCGGCGUGAGCCGUAAAAAAGGAGGAACAUCCGCCGGGCCGGCGGUGCGGCAGUGUGGAGACCUGUCGUAACGUCCGCAGGGUUCCGCUCCCUGCGGGCAAGAGGGUAUUUGCGGAGGCAUUGCCCUUUCGGCCCAUGCAAAUGGCA
rnacentral:ncRNA from 1 species